rnacentral:rRNA from 1 species
CCUACGGGAGGCAGCAGUCGGGAAUAUUGCACAAUGGGCGAAAGCCUGAUGCAGCAACGCCGCGUGCGCGAUGAAGGCCUUCGGGUCGUAAAGCGCUUUUCGGGAGGAUGAGGAAGGACAGUACUCCCGGAAUAAGUCACGGCUAACUACGUGCCAGCAGCCGCGGUAAU